rnacentral:RNase_P_RNA from 1 species
GAGGAAAGUCCGGGCAACACAGAGCAUCCUACUUCCUAACAGAAAGCUGUCCGCGAGGGUAGAGUAACGUAGAAGAAAAUAACCGCCAUGCUCUUCCUGAGUAUGGUAAGGGUGAGAAGGUGGGGUAAGAGCCUACCGGCCUUGUGGUGACACAAGGGCUGUACGUCUUGGGAGUUGUAAGGUCAUGUAAACCGACGCUAUGAGAGCUGCUCGCUCCAUGUCGGAGGGUAGACCGCUAAAGCCGGUAUGGCAACAUACGGCUCAGAUAAAUGACAGACACUUCUUGAAUGAAGAAGGAAGAAUGAGGAAUG